UAUGUAUGGAUUAGAUUUAUUAUACUAACGUCAAGAUAAGAUUUAUUAUGUAUGGAUUAAUUUGUUAAAAAUGGCGUCAAGAUUAUAAUUUGUAGCUUAAAUGCCCAACAAUACAAUAAUUGGAGAUGAAUUUAACUACCUCAAUUUAAAGAUUAUUAUACAUCGCAUUAUUUUGAACAUGGCAGCAAAUUUAUUUAAUCUUAACUAAAAUAAAAAUAUUUAAGUUUUUAAGAUUAAUUAAAAUUUUUUUUUUUUAUUAUUUAUACAUUAAUUAAGAAAAAAAAUUGUUGAAGAGAAUGGAAUAAUCCCAGCGAUCGAUUUUUUUUGCCAAUAAAUUACACUAAUAAUGAUGAAUUUUUCAGUUAUCUUAUCGAGACUGGAUGAAAAGACAAUGUCUUCUGGCAGCCCCGGCCGAAAAUUUUAUGUUAUACUUUUAUAUUGUAAAAACAUUGUAAAAGAUUAUUAUUUUAAUGACGAAAUGUAAAAGAAAAAUAUAUAUAUCAUAAUAAUAAAUAACAAAUAAUAAA